rnacentral:sRNA from 1 species
UGUUGGUUUGCAGGAUCUUGUGGAACUGUGUAUAUCAUGCUUUGUAGUAUGGAUUGAUUGCCAUCAAACUUGAAAAAGGUCUUCCACCCAAUAAUUAUAUGUGCAACAUUUGCAGAGCUAUCAGCAAUUGCUUUGGAGUU